CAUAAUAAAAAGAAAUGGCUUCUAAGAAAUUCUCAUUUGUUUGGGAGGUUCUCUUGAUUGUUAUGCUUCUACUAGCCACGGCAACAAUGGCUUCAAGAAAUCCAGGUCCCUUGUUCGCUAAUAAGAAGCUUGUAGCAAGCCGUCAACUGGGCGAAGCAUUGCCACGGGGUGGCAACCGUCAAAACAAUCCUUAAUCAUUAUAUCAUAUAUAUAUAUAUAUAUAUAUAUAUGUAUGCAUAUGUGCUAGCUCUUGUAAUGGUCGCGUAUUUGUUUUGUCUCAUAGUAAUGGUAUUUUAAAAUAAUCCGAGCUACCUGCUAGGCUCUCUCAACUCGUGUGUGUUAUUUAGGCCUUUCAUCGUGACUCAAUGUUGGUGUGAUUAUUUCUUAUGGUACUAUUACCAUAGUGGCAAGCUCUAUUGAUUUUGUCUAAUGAAGCAUCUGUAAGCUCUGUAAUGAAAUAUGUAUGAAUUUUCCCAAGUAUUAUUAUCUCGAAACCGUCUACAAAAAAUGACUACGGUUUUUUUUUUUAUUCUCA